rnacentral:rRNA from 1 species
AGAGUUUGAUCAUGGCUCAGGAUGAACGCUGGCGGCGUGCCUAAUACAUGCAAGUCGAACGCAAUACUUCGGUAUUGAGUGGCGAACGGGUGAGUAAUACAUAAGCAACCUGGCCAUGACAGGGGGAUAACUGACGGAAACGACAGCUAAAACCGCAUAGGUAUAAACGAAGCAUUUUGUUUAUAUUAAAAAUGCUAAGGCAUUGGUGAUGGAUGGGCUUAUGGAGCAUUAGCUAGUUGGUGAGGUAGAGGCUCACCAAGGCGACGAUGCAUAGCCGGCCUGAGAGGGUGAACGGCCACACUGGGACUGAGACACGGCCCAG